AUACGUAGGGGGCGAGCGUUGUCCGGAAUGAUUGGGCGUAAAGGGCGCGUAGGCGGCGCGGUAAGUCUGGAGUGAAAGUCCUGCUUUCAAGGUGGGAAUUGCUUUGGAUACUGCCGCGCUUGAGUGCAGGAGAGGUUAUCGGAAUUCCCGGUGUAGCGGUGAAAUGCGUAGAGAUCGGGAGGAACACCAGUGGCGAAGGCGGGUAACUGGACUGCAACUGACGCUGAGGCGCGAAAGUGUGGGGAGCAAACAGGAUUAGAUACCCUGGUAGUCCACACUGUAAACGAUGAAUGCUAGGUGUAAGAGGUAUCGACCCCUUUUGUGCCGGAGUCAACACAAUAAGCGUUCCGCCUGGGGAGUACGGCCGCAAGGUUGAAACUCAAAUGAAUUGGCGGGG
rnacentral:rRNA from 1 species